GGGGGCCCGCACAAGCGGUGGAGCAUGUGGUUUAAUUCGACGCAACGCGCAGAACCUUACCAGCCCUUGACAUGUCCAGGACCGGUCGCAGAGACGUGACCUUCUCUUCGGAGCCUGGAACACAGGUGCUGCAUGGCUGUCGUCAGCUCGUGUCGUGAGAUGUUGGGUUAAGUCCCGCAACGAGCGCAACCCCCGUCCUUAGUUGCUACCAUUUAGUUGAGCACUCUAAGGAGACUGCCGGUGAUAAGCCGCGAGGAAGGUGGGGAUGACGUCAAGUCCUCAUGGCCCUUACGGGCUGGGCUACACACGUGCUACAAUGGCGGUGACAGUGGGAUGCGAAGACGCAAGUCCUAGCAAAUCUCAAAAAGCCGUCUCAGUUCGGAUUGGGCUCUGCAACUCGAGCCCAUGAAGUUGGAAUCGCUAGUAAUCGUGGAUCAGCACGCCACGGUGAAUACGUUCCCGGGCCUUGUACACACCGCCCGUCACACCAUGGGAGUUGGCUUUACCUGAAGACGGUGCGCUAACCAGCAAUGGAGGCAGCCGGCCACGGUAGGGUCAGCGACUGGGGUGAAG
rnacentral:rRNA from 1 species